rnacentral:rRNA from 1 species
UGGGGAAUUUUGGACAAUGGGCGAAAGCCUGAUCCAGCAAUGCCGCGUGUGUGAAGAAGGCCUUCGGGUUGUAAAGCACUUUUGUCCGGAAAGAAAACUUCGUCCCUAAUAUGGAUGGAGGAUGACGGUACCGGAAGAAUAAGCACCGGCUAACUACGUGCCAGCAGCCGCGGUAAUACGUAGGGUGCAAGCGUUAAUCGGAAUUACUGGGCGUAAAGCGUGCGCAGGCGGUGAUGUAAGACCGAUGUGAAAUCCCCGGGCUUAACCUGGGAACUGCAUUGGUGACUGCAUCGCUAGAGUAUGGCAGAGGGGGGUGGAAUUCCACGUGUAGCAGUGAAAUGCGUAGAGAUGUGGAGGAACACCGAUGGCGAAGGCAGCCCCCUGGGCCAAUACUGACGCUCAUGCACGAAAGCGUGGGGAGCAAACAGGAUUAGAUACCCUGGUAGUCCACGCCCUAAACGAUGUCAACUGGUUGUUGGGGAUUCAUUUCCUUAGUAACGAAGCUAACGCGUGAAGUUGACCGCCUGGGGAGUACGGUCGCAAGAUUA